rnacentral:rRNA from 1 species
AAGUGUGUUGUGAAAUGUAGACGCUCAACGUCUGACUUGCAGCGCAUACUGGUUUCCUUGAGUACGCACAACGUUGGCGGAAUUCGUCGUGUAGCGGUGAAAUGCUUAGAUAUGACGAAGAACUCCGAUYGCGAAGGCAGCUGACGGGAGUGCAACUGACGCUGAAGCUCGAAGGUGCGGGUAUCGAACAGGAUUAGAUACCCUGGUAGUCCGCACAGUAAACGAUGGAUGCCCGCUGUUGGUACCUGGUAUCAGCGGCUAAGCGAAAGCAUUAAGCAUCCCACCUGGGGAGUACGCCGGCAACGGUGAAACUCAAAGGAAUUGACGGGGGCCCGCACAAGCGGAGGAACAUGUGGUUUAAUUCGAUGAUACGCGAGGAACCUUACCCGGGCUUGAAUUGCAGAGGAAGGAUUUAGAGAUAAUGACGCCCUUCGGGGUCUCUGUGAAGGUGCUGCAUGGUUGUCGUCAGCUCGUGUCGUGAG